rnacentral:rRNA from 1 species
CACGUAGGGGGCGAGCGUUGUCCGGAAUCAUUGGGCGUAAAGAGCUCGUAGGCGGCUCAGUAAGUCGGGUGUGAAACCCCCAGGCUCAACCUGGGGACGCCACCCGAUACUGUCGUGACUAGAGUCCAGUAGGGGAGCGUGGAAUUCCUGGUGUAGCGGUGAAAUGCGCAGAUAUCAGGAGGAACACCAGCGGCGAAGGCGGCGCUCUGGGCUGGAACUGACGCUGAGGAGCGAAAGCGUGGGGAGCGAACAGG